UACGGAGGGUGCAAGCGUUAUCCGGAUUCACUGGGUUUAAAGGGUGCGUAGGUGGGAAAGUAAGUCAGUGGUGAAAUCUCCGUGCUUAACACGGAAACUGCCAUUGAUACUAUUUUUCUUGAAUUUUCUGGAGGUCAGCGGAAUAUGUCAUGUAGCGGUGAAAUGCUUAGAUAUGACAUGGAACACCAAUUGCGAAGGCAGCUGGCUACAGGGAUAUUGACACUGAGGCACGAAAGCGUGGGGAUCAAACAGG
rnacentral:rRNA from 1 species